rnacentral:rRNA from 1 species
UACGUAGGGGGCAAGCGUUGUCCGGAAUUAUUGGGCGUAAAGAGCGCGUAGGCGGUCCGAUAAGUCGGCUGUGAAAGUCCAGGGCUCAACCCUGGAAAGCCGGCCGAUACUGUCGGACUAGAGUCCGGAAGAGGCAAGUGGAAUUCCCGGUGUAGCGGUGAAAUGCGCAGAUAUCGGGAGGAACACCAAUUGCGAAGGCAGCUCGCUGGGACGUUACUGACGCUGAGACGCGAAAGCGUGGGGAGCAAACAGG